rnacentral:sRNA from 1 species
GAGUUUUCGGAGAACAGCUUCUAGUAGGAAAAUAAUUCUGGAGAAGAGAUGGCAAGGAGGAUACGUUGGAAACCGUACUUGAUGGGGAAGACAAUGCUGCAGCUUAGAUUCGCUAGCUUUUAUUAGUUAGCUUUGAUGAACUUUUGUACGUUUAAAGCUUUAAAUUCUAUGUAAUUUCUAGGGAGAAACCCUACUACUCUAAG